AUGGCAGAACAACGGAUGCACAGAUGACUGGAGUAGCCAUGAGAGAGAGGCUGUGCCUGGGGUCUGAAGUCUGAGCAUCAUCAAAGUCAGCCCCAGCAUGUUGGAGAAGAAAGCUGGCUUCACCUGGCCAUUUGGAUUAAUGUGUGUUUCUACAGGGCUUCCUAGUGUUCCUCCUGCUGUACACUUACAAGCAACUGGAAGAAAUAGCAGCUCCACUAUUAACAAAAGGGAAUUUAGUGUAUUAGUAACCCAGGAG
rnacentral:lncRNA from 1 species